AUGGCCGCCGACCACAAGAGCAUUGCACCGGCGGUACUCCUCCUCCUGCCGCUGAUGCUGUCUUUCACGGCGUCGGCACGGCACUUGACUCCCACCGCGGAUUACUCGGUGCUGAGGAAGGUGCCUCGUGGACCGGACCCCAUAACGUCUGAUCCGCCGCCGCCGCCAGCCAAGAGUGCACAUUUCUCGGUGCUGAGGAAGGUGCCUCGUGGGCCAGACCCCAUAACGUCUGACGUGCCCCCGCCGCCGGCCACGAGCGCGCACUUCUCGGUACUGAGGAAGGUGCCCUUUGGACCGGAUCCCUUAGUGUCCUACGCUCCACCGCCGCCGGCUACGAGCGCGCACUUCUCCGUGCUGAGGAAGGUGCCUCGUGGGCCAGACCCUAUAAUGUCGGACCCACCACCACCACCUCCAAGGGAUUUCUCGGUGCUCAGGAAGGUUCCUACCGGACCAAACCCAGCGACAUCCGACUCACCGCCACCACCUCCGAGGGACUUCUCGGUGCUCAGGAAGGUUCCUACCGGACCAAACCCGGCAACGUCCGACUCACCUCCACCACCUCCGAGAGACUUCUCAAUGCUCAGGAAGGUUCCUACCGGACCAAACCCGGCAACGUCCGACUCACCGCCGCCACCACGGCUGCCAACUGCAGCUUCUCGGGCGUGA
rnacentral:rRNA from 1 species